UAGGAAUCUGCCUUAUAGAUUGGGACAACUUAGGGAAACUUAAGCUAAUACCAAAUGAGCUCUGAGGAGGAAAGCAGGGGACAGUAAAAUGCCUUGCGCUAUAAGAUGAGCCUGCGUCGGAUUAGCUAGUUGGUGGGGUAAAGGCCUACCAAGGCGAUGAUCCGUAGCUGGUCUGAGAGGAUGAUCAGCCACACUGGGACUGAGACCACGGCCCAGACCUCGUACGGGAG
rnacentral:rRNA from 1 species